CAGGACUCGUAAGACUCCCGUAAACCACUGUGAACUUACCUACAACCCGUUGCCUCGGCGGGUGCUCCGGGCGCGUCUUCGGGCGCUCCGGGGCGCUCCAGCCCGCCGGCGGCCCCUAAACUCUGUCUCUGUAACGUUGGCAUCUCCGAGCAGACUAUAAACGAGUCA
rnacentral:misc_RNA from 1 species